rnacentral:rRNA from 3 species
UUAGCCUCAAUUCAGGCAG